GAACAGCACCGAGCUUCAGGGACCUGGUUUGUCUGACAAAUUCUUGGUGGUCAUCUGGUCAGCAAAAUGGGCAGUCAAGACCAUGCAGGCCUUGAGUGUGAUGGACCCAUCAAGGCCCUGUGAGCUGGAUGCUCAUGUCACUGAAGACGGUUAUCGCUCGGGUCUCUGGCAGCGGCUUGAACGAACUUGCCAACCUCUUGGAUUCUGCACACAACUCUGGAAGGGGUCAGAGGUACCAUACACUUUGAUAGAAAAACAACUGGCUGCUGUGUAUCAUGCCUUGCUGGCUAUAGAACCCAUCACUGGAAUGGCCCCAAUAAAGGCAGAAAGCACCUUCCCCCAGGUCUGAACGCAGCAUGGGAAAGCAC